UAAAAAUACAAAACAAAUCCCUCAGACGUAGCCUCCCCGUGACACUCCGUCCCUCACCGGCGGCGCUGUGUGCGCCGCGACUCCGCUCUCGUUGCCGCCGUCGUAUCGUCGCCGCCCCGCCCCGUCGCGCACCCCGGCCUGUUCGCGCCGCGUCAAACCGAUGGUGAAGGAGGAGGAGCCAGGAUAGGGCAGAGCAAACCUGCAACGCGCCUAUCGAUUUCGAUACUUUAAGAUUUGAGAAACUGAGCACCAUGGGACAUUGAAAGAUGAUGGAGGCUGUUAGCUGUGCCUGGAGGAGUUGCCGACUUUGAUUUGAGACGAUGAACUGCAGGAAGGAAGGUCAGGUUCCCAACGUUUAAUACCCUUCCCAAAUACUAGAUGCAAUUCUGGUUUUGCGAAUUAAACGAGGCAUGUGUACAAACGUAGUAUCUUGGUUUGUUGGGUCACUUAUACUCUUGAUGAUAAUCUGAAAAUAGUGGAAAGUUCACUAUUCAGUGUGUGAACCCUUCUUAGGGUCUUGCCUUUAUUUUGUUUAAAUAAACUGCAUUCUGUGGGCACGCAAUGCAUAUGUACAAAGAACCACACUAACUUCUAGUGGAUGUUUUCA